rnacentral:tRNA from 1 species
GGGGGUGUAGCCUAUUGGUGAGGCACCAGACUUUUAAUCUGGACUAAAGUGGUUCGAUUCCACUCGCCCCCACCA